UCGGCUCCACCUUGUGAUGGGAAUGACGGCCACCGCUUGGCUUUAGGAAAACUUUGCGCUGCUUCUCUGCCUUUCGUUUGUUUAGAAUUGCCAUCGCUUCUCUUUCUUCAUCGUUUAAUCUGCCAUUCUUAUGACUUUAAAAUCUUUGUGUUCAUUAACGGCACAUCGAUUUCUGAAAUAAAAAAUGAUACUUUAAUAGAAAAUUGGGGGUUUCGCUGAGUUUCUUCACACUUCCGUAAUUGCUCCAUUAAGAUCAUAGUCGAAAGAGACUGAACCAACCAAGGUUGUAGGGAAUGGAAUCAAUAAAAAUGAAAGAAGCUCUUUUGAGAAAGAGGCUGAGUGUGGAGGAAAACUGUAGGAAGGCAUAUUUUCUUACUGAGAUUUGAGACACAAAAUUCAAU